rnacentral:pre_miRNA from 1 species
CUACUACUCCUUCCGUUCGGAAUUACUUGUCGCAGAAAUGGAUGUAUCUAGAUGUAUUUUAGUUCUAGAUACAUCCAUUUCCAAGACAAGUAAUUCCGAACGGAGGGAGUAGUUG